rnacentral:lncRNA from 1 species
CUGAUUGUAAUUAUUUUAGUAAUAAUAUAAUAAAUUACGAAACGAAACAUUUCAGCUCUUCUUUCUUGCAUUAUUUGCAGCCCUAAAAUGAUAUAUUGAACGUGGUCCUCUAAUAAUAUUUUUUUAACGUGGCCCACUAGUUGAAAUGGUGCUCUAUUGGGCUAGAAUUUAUAUAUACAAACAAAUAAUAAUAGAUAUCAAAAGUUGAUUAAUAAUUUAUUCAUUAUUUAUACUUUAAACCGCAAAUUUGAGUCAAUUAUGUCUUUAAGACAUUUUUUUAAGUUUCUUAUAAGGGUAUGGAUGGAGAUGCAUAGUUGUAGGUAUAAGUCCUAUGGUUUUUGUAAUGGGCCAAAUCUGCCCGGGCCCAUGUAAAAACAAAACAAACAAAAACACAAAAAAUAUAUAAAGCCCAAUACAUGACCCAAAAAACCAAACUUAAUAUCCUAGCCCAAUAAGCCCAAUCCCGAAUAGCCCAAAAAGCCCCAAAACUUCAACACUUUCGGGAACCCUAGGUCACCCUCUUGCGCCGCAACAGCCUCGCAACGACCGUAUCACCUCCGUACCCUAGCCUAGACCCGUACCCGAGCGCCAACGCACAGCCCCGUGCUCCGUACCUGCAAAAGAAAACAAACGAAAGCAGCAACAAGCCAAUACAAAAGCAGAGGACAAAAAUUGUUGUUUUCUUUAGUUAUUCGGCUAUAAAGCCUUUGAUUUUCGAUUGUAAAAGGGGACUCCUUUUUUAAAAACGGAAUAUACGCACAAAAAAAAACUCAUUCGCAUAUUGAAUAGAAAGAGAUAGCAAAGAAAAGGUGAUUUGAAACGCAUUAUAUUUUUGUUCUUCAAAUCUCCUUCGUCUUUUUUUCUUUUCGUUUUGUUUUUUCUAGUAUAAUGAAAUAAAGUAGCUAUUUUACCUCGUGAAAGUAUCAUGGAUUCCGUCUGCUUCGUCGAUAUCGGAGUGUAGAAGCUAUUCCACGGUCGAAAUUGUCGCCCCUUUGAAGCUCGAAUCUGUUCGUCACCACUGAUAGGAGCAGAUCGGCGCUUAGAGGGAUAGUUUUAGGGGCGAAUGUGGAGGAAAUAAAAAGAGAUCUAGGGUUUGCUAAAUGAGAAGAAAGGGGGGCUAGGGUGAUUCGGCCAAAUUUGGCUUAUUUUUAGCCUUUUUAAAAGAGUAAAAACGACGCCGUUCAAAGGGGGAAGGGUUCGCGCGUCAACCCGCUCCAGGACCCGUACCCACGCCCUUAUACUUCAAAUGGGUUAUUUACGAUAAAAGUCCUUCCCUUUUGCAUGGUUAUUCGAUUACAUGCAAUUUGCUUUAUUUCUUUUUUUGAAUUUAGUUCGGCAAUUUUGGCGUGUUUGCGCUUUGGUCCGUGCCUCUGUGCUGCGUUUUAGAGCUGGGUUUAUUCUCAGUUCUGGUCCCUGUAUGCUGGCGCGCUUCGCGCAUUGGUCCUUCGUGGAAUGUUUUAUUCGCAAAUCAGCCGUUUUUUUGUUUUAAUUUUAUUUGAACUAAUUUACCCAUACACUCAUGUAUUUUAAUAUGCUUUGUAUGUUUCGUAUAAAUGUUUUAUGUGUGCUAUUUUAUGUAUACAUAUAUACACGUAUAUAGUUUGUACUAAAGCUUUGUUAUAAAUGUAUAUAUAUACUAUUUUCAAUUUCA